AGUGAACGCUGGCGGUAGGCCUAACACAUGCAAGUCGAACGGCAGCACAGUAAGAGCUUGCUCUUACGGGGGGCGAGUGGCGGACGGGAGAGGAAAACAACGAAAUCUACUUUUUCGUGGGGGAUAACGAAGGGAAACUUACGCCAAUACCGCAUACGACCUACGGUGGAAAGCAGUGGAUCGUCGGACCUUGCGCGGUUGAAUGCGCCGAUGUCGGAUUAGCUAGUUGGCGGGGUAAAGACCCAGGAAGGGGACGAUCCGUAGCUGGUCGGAGAGGAUGGUAAGCCACACUGGAGCUGGGACACGGUCCAGACGCCUACGAGAGGGAGCAGUGGGGAAUAUGAGGCAGUAGGCGGGAGCCUGGUCCAGCCAUACCGCGUGGGUGAAGGAGACCUUCGGGUUGUAAAGCCCUUUUGUCGGGUAAGAAAAGCAGCAGGUUAAUACCCAGCUGUUCUGACGGUACCCAAAGAAUAAGCACCGGCUAACUUCGUG
rnacentral:rRNA from 1 species